AUUUUUGUAGUUUUAGUAGAGACAGGGUUUCACCAUGUUGGCCAGGCUGGUCUUCAACUCCUGACCUCAGGUGAUCUACCUGCCUUGGCCUCCCAAAGUGCUGGGAUUACAGGUGUGAGCCACCACACCCAGCCUUCCAUACUAUUAAAAACAUUUUAUAGAUACCAUGUAAAUAGCGGAUAUACCAUACUUUACUCAACCAUUUCUGCAUUAAGUACCAGUGUUUUGCAACUAUAAAUAGUGUCAAGAUGGCUUUGUGCAUAUAGAUUUAUGAAUUAUUUAUUUCAGAUAAAUUACCUAAAGUGAGACAAAUGGGAUAAAAAUAUUGAGCAUUUAAAGCUCCUAAAAUAUUUUGUGAUAGCUUUCAGAAAAUGUUUUAAAAAUUAAAAUACAGUGAGCAACCUAUGAGAAUACCAGCAUUACCGAACCCUUGCUAGCAUUGAAUAUUGCCAUUUAAAAAAUUAGUUCUGUGUAAUUAUUAUGAAUAUCAUUUUAUUUUCACACAUGCAUAUUCUAACCAAAUAGCAUUAUUGCUAACUCUCUUUUUACAGGGUGGAGAAAGAAAUAUAUGUAUUAUUUAAUAUAUGUGGACAAAGCAUUUUCCACUUUAGGUUUUCAAUGAGUAGCUUGGAUCAUUGAGGAAUGUAGUAAUAAGCCACUACACAGUCCCAAGUUAUCUUUUGGGGUUUUGGUUUAUUUUUUUUAAUACAGAUUCUCACUCUGUCACGGAGACUGGCAUGCAGUAAUGCAAUCACAGUUUACUGCAGCCUUAACCUCCCCAGCUCAAGCAAUCCUUCCACCUUAACCUCUUGAGUAGCUAGGACCGCAGGCGUGUACCACUACUCCUGGCUAAUUUAUUUCAUUUCAUUUCAUUUUUUUGAGUCAGAGUCUUUCUCUGUUCCCCAGGCUGGAGUGCAGUGGUGUGAUCUUGGCUCACUACAGCCUCUGCCUCCCAGGUUCAAGUGAUUCUCCUGCCUUAGCCUCCCGAGUAGCUGGAAUUACAGGCACGUGCCACCACGCCCAGCUAAUUUUUGUAUUUUUAGUAGAGACAGGGUUUCACCAUGUUGGCCAGGCUGGUCUGGAACUCCUGACUUCAAGUGAUUUGCCUGCCUCGGCCUCCCAAAGUGCUGGGAUUACAGGCAUGAGCCACUGCUCUCAGCCUAAUUUAUUUUAUUUGUAGAGAUGGAUGAUACGAUUAGGCUUUUUGUUCCCACCUGAACAGAAAGCCUAAUCUCCUCCUGAAUUGUAAUCCCCAUAAUCCCCACAUGGCAAGGAGAGACCAGGUGGAGGUAAUUGAAUCAUGGGGGGGCGGUUUUCCCUCUGCUCUUUUGAUGAUAGUGAGUGAAUUCUCACCACAGCUGAUGGUUAUGUAAGAGGCUCUUCCCCCUUUCUCGGCACUUCUUCCGGCCGCCUUGUGAGGAAGGCAUCUUGCUUCCCCUUCGCCUCCUGACGUGAUUGUGAAUUUCCUGAGGCCUCCCCAGCCGUGAUGAACUCACCCACCUCAACUACCAGCAUCAGAAAACAAGUUCCGGCCGGGUGCAGUGGCUCACACCUGUAAGAGUGGCUCACACUUUGGGAGGCCAAGAUUCUCUGCAAAACUUCUGGACAACUGACAUCUCCCUAAAUGUGAUAUUCUGAUACACCCCCAUCUUCUGAUGUUUAAAUUGUAACCUGUGACAAUACUUCUAGAUGUCAAAACAAUAGUGAUUAAACAUUCAACGGUUACCUUCUAAAUAUGAUCUUUCUUCCACUUACCUAACCCAAUACUUUCAAGUCUAUCAGACAAGAAAAAUCUCUUUCUACCUCCUAGGACUCAUAGAAAAUAAGUUGAAAAAUAGUAAGACUUCUGUUAGAAAAAUAAUUUUUAAAGAUGUCCCCCAACCCAAAACAGAAGCCAUGAGGAUUUAAACAAGUGAAGCCAAGGUCCACUGAUUUUUAGGGGGCUUACAGUUUGAAAUGGUAUCUUUUAAAUUCAAAUUUUAUUCAAAUUAUUCUGUCUGCAGAAUACUGCACAUACUCAUUCUGUUUUUCAGAAUGUACAUGCUGUCAUUUAUUAAAUUACUAAACUUUACUUUCAUUAAUUUUUUUUUUUUUGAGACAGCAUAUCCCUCUGUCACCCAGGCUAGAGUGCGGUGGCUCACUGCAACAUCCGCCUCCCAGGUUCAAGGGAUUCUCCUGCCUCAGCCUCCUGAGUAGUUGGGAUUAUAGGCAUGUGCUACCACACCCAGCUAAUUUUUGUAUAUUUAGUAGAGACAGGGUUUCACCAUGCUGGCUAGGCUGGUCUCGAACGCCUGACCUCAGUUGAUCCACCUGCCUCGGCCUCCCAAAGUGCUGAGAUUACAGGCGUGAGCCUUAAUUUUAAUAAACAUAAUUAUUGUUGAAAUUGUUAGUUGUGAUAAUGGCAUGGUGGUUAGGCAAAAAAAAGUUGUCAGAAACACAUUCUGAAGAAAUUAUAAACCUUGAGUGGUGGCUCACACCUAAUCUUAGCACUUUAGGAGGCUGAGGUGGGAGGAUUGCUUGAAGCUGGGAGUUUGAAACCAGCCUGGGCAAACAAGUGAAACCCCGUCUCUACAAAAAAAAAAAAUGUUAAUAACUUAUAGAUAAUUGUUAUGAUGUCUGAGACUUGAUUUAAAAUAUUACAGCCAAAAAAUAAGGCAAGAUAGGUAAAAAUAAGAUUAGCAAAAUAUUGAUAAUUGUUAAAGUUGGUUGAUAGGUACAUAGAGGUUUAUUAUACAGUUUACUGUUGUGUAUGCUUUAAGCUUUCUAUAAUAAAAUAUUUUAAAAUUGCAUACUGUUAUUUUGCUGUUCUUAUUAUAUCAUCACGUUUUUGCCCCUCCUCAAUCAUACUCCCAUGGCAUAUAUCCUACUGGAGAAUUCUUCUUGAAUCCUUAUUCCAGGGAAAGAAAGAAAGAACCAAAGAGCCCAUGUGGAUUCAGCCAGGAGCCAAACUCCAGGCGCUGGUCACUUCUUUAGCUUCCAACUUCCUGCUAAGCCACAGGUG